rnacentral:rRNA from 1 species
UCUUAGCUUGCUAAGGCCGAUGGCGACUGGCGCACGGGUGAGUAACACGUAUCCCACUUGCCGAUAACUCGGGGAUAGCCUUUCGAAAGAAAGAUUAAUACCCGAUGGCAUAAUAGAACCGCAUGGUUUGAUUAUUAAAGAAUUUCGGUUAUCGAUGGGGAUGCGUUCCAUUAGGCAGUUGGUGGGGUAACGGCCCACCAAACCUUCGAUGGAUAGGGGUUCUGAGAGGAAGGUCCCCCACAUUGGAACUGAGACACGGUCCAAACUCCUACGGGAGGCAGCAGUGAGGAAUAUUGGUCAAUGGACGAGAGUCUGAACCAGCCAAGUAGCGUGAAGGAUGACUGCCCUAUGGGUUGUAAACUUCUUUUAUAUGGGAAUAAAGUGGUCCACGUGUGGAUUUUUGUAUGUACCAUAUGAAUAAGGAUCGGCUAACUCCGUGCCAGCAGCCGCGGUAAUACGGAGGAUCCGAGCGUUAUCCGGAUUUAUUGGGUUUAAAGGGAGCGUAGGUGGACAGUUAAGUCAGUUGUGAAAGUUUGCGGCUCAACCGUAAAAUUGCAGUUGAUACUGGCUGUCUUGAGUACAGUAGAGGUGGGCGGAAUUCGUGGUGUAGCGGUGAAAUGCUUAGAUAUCACGAAGAACUCCGAUUG